rnacentral:rRNA from 1 species
UACGUAGGGGGCAAGCGUUAUCCGGAUUUACUGGGUGUAAAGGGAGCGUAGACGGUAAUGUAAGUCUGAUGUGAAAGCCCGGGGCUCAACCCCGGGACUGCAUUGGAAACUAUGUAACUAGAGUACCGGAGAGGUGAGCGGAAUUCCUAGUGUAGCGGUGAAAUGCGUAGAUAUUAGGAGGAACACCAGUGGCGAAGGCGGCUUACUGGACGGAAACUGACGUUGAGGCUCGAAAGCGUGGGGAGCAAACAGG